rnacentral:tRNA from 1 species
GGUGAGGUGGCCGAGUGGUCGAAGGCGCACGCCUGGAACGCGUGUAGCGGGUAACCGUCUCGUGGGUUCGAAUCCCACCCUCACCGCCA